AUCUACGGCCAUACCACCCUGAACACACCCCGAUCUCGUCUGAUCUCGGAAGCUAAGCAGGGGUUGGGCCUGGUUAGUACUUGGAUGGGAGAAAAAUCUUACUAUCACUUUAAAAGACACAGAAGCCUUUGACU
rnacentral:rRNA from 1 species